rnacentral:pre_miRNA from 1 species
AGCCUUCUGUAUUCGAGCUGAGAUUUCGUCAGAAAUCAACCCACCGGAGUUGGCGGAUGUAGCUUCCCAAAUAAGUGAAGUG